CCCUUAGAUGUCCUGGGCCGCACGCGCGCUACACUGAACGGAUCAGCGCGUUUUCCCUUCCCGAGAGGGACGGGUAACCUGCUGAACCCCGUUCGUGGUAGGGAUCGGGGCUUGCAAUUAUUCCCCGUGAACCAGGAAUGCCCAGUAAGUGCAAGUCAUAAGCUUGCGUUGAUUACGUCCCUGCCCUUUGUACACACCGCCCGUCGCUACUACCGAUUGAAUGGUCCGGUGAAGCCUCCGGAUUGGCGUGCACCCUCGGGUGCUGCCGAGAAGUUGGCUAAACCUUACCAUUUAGAGGAAGGUGAAGUCGUAACA
rnacentral:rRNA from 1 species